AAAUGUAGCAAUACAAAGUAAAGUGGCGUACGGGUGAGUAACACGUAGGUAAUCUACCCCAGAGUCUGGAAUAACCUGCCGAAAGGCGGGCUAAUACUGGAUAGAGCGGCGGAACCCGUAAUCGGGUUUUUCGGGAAAGGGAGGAAGCAAUUCCCUUCACUCUGGGAUGAGCCUGCGUCUCAUUAGCUAGUUGGUGAGGUAAUGGCUCACCAAGGCUUUGAUGGGUAGCUGGUCUGAGAGGAUGAUCAGCCACACUGGAACUGAAACACGGUCCAGACUCCUACGGGAGGCAGCAGUGGGGAAUCUUGCGCAAUGGACGAAAGUCUGACGCAGCCACGCCGCGUGAGUGAAGAAGGCCUUCGGGUUGUAAAGCUCUGUCGGGCGGGACGAAAACUUUUAGGGUUAACAGCCCUAGAAAUUGACGGUACCGCCAAAGGAAGCACCGGCUAACUUCGUGCCAGCAGCCGCGGUAAUACGAGGGGUGCAAGCGUUGCUCGGAAUUAUUGGGCGUAAAGGGUAGGUAGGUGGUCUCGUUUGUCUGGGGUGAAAUCCUUGAGCUUAACUCAAGAAGUGCCCUAGAAACGGCGAGACUAGAGUACUGGAGAGGGUCGUGGAAUUCCCGGUGUAGCGGUGAAAUGCGUAGAGAUCGGGAGGAACACCAGAGGCGAAGGCGGCGACCUGGACAGUUACUGACACUCAACUACGAAAGCGUGGGGAGCAAACAGGAUUAGAUACCCUGGUAGUCCACGCCGUAAACGAUGGGUACUAGAUUUGGUGGGUCUUGACCCCCGCCGAAUCGGCGCUAACGCAAUAAGUA
rnacentral:rRNA from 1 species